GUCCUCCGCGGAUACUCUAAUAGUGGGGCAGUCCUCCUCUUCGUCGGAAUCAAGUUCUUCCUCAGAUGAGUACUCCUCCUCACACCAGUCCACCAUAGUACUCUCCUCAACAGGGAGACCCACCACCUUCUCUUUAUACGAGAACUUCCUGGUCUCCCCUCCUCGGCCCUCCACAAACACACCCCCAAAACAGAACCCGCAUCCCCCUUCGCACCUUUUUGAGUUCUUUUGGCUGUAGCUCUUCGUCGUCCAGGUGCAUUUUCUUUUACCCAGAACUUCUGUCCAUGAAUGAUAUAUAUGGCUUCAAAAGCCACUGUUGCCGUCAAUUAUGAGUUCGCUUAUUGGUAAGGGGAAGUCAUCUUUAAGGCAAGCUGCAUUUAGGUCUCUGAAGUCGACACACACUCGUACUUGUCCGUUCUUCUUGCGUACUGGCACAAUGUUGGAAAUUAAAUCCACUUGGGAUAUUUCCUUAUGAAAGCGGCAGCUAUGAAUUUGUCCACCACUCCGUGGGUUAAUUCCUAUUCAAUUUGCAUCUCGAAUUCAAUGUCUUCAGUCAGCUCUUCCGUCUAGUC